AGCCUUCAGUUCAUGGGCAUGAUGACUGGGUGUUCACGCUGUAUGCGUGAAAUGUGCCUUCUUCAAACCUUGAUACGACGUGGGCACAUUACCUGGCUGAAG